CCUACGGGAGGCAGCAGUGAGGAAUAUUGGUCAAUGGGCGUACGCCUGAACCAGCCAAGUCGCGUGAGGGAAGAAGGCCCUAUGGGUUGUAAACCUCUUUUGUCAGGGAGCAAUGGCGUCUACGUGUGGCGUUAUGGAGAGUACCUGAAGAAAAAGCAUCGGCUAACUCCGUGCCAGCAGCCGCGGUAAUACGGAGGAUGCGGGCGGUAACCGGAUUUAAUGGGGUUAAAGGGGGCGUAGGCGGGAUCCUAAGUCAGGGGGUAAAUUCUGGGGCUUAAACGCCGUACAGCAGUUGAAACUGGGGUUCUUGAGUGCGCGAGAAGUAGGCGGAAUGCGUGGUGUAGCGGUGAAAUGCAUAGAUAUCACGCAGAACCCCGAUUGCGAAGGCAGCAUACCGGCGCUCAACUGACGCUGAGGCACGAAAGUGUGGGUAUCGAACAGGAUUAGAUACCCUGGUAGUC
rnacentral:rRNA from 1 species